GGUCCCCCCCUUAUUUUACUGUAGGGCCCCCACCCCUGAGCAGUGGGUGGGGGCCAGGGGGGGAGGACAUUAGCCCCCCUCCCAUUACUAUUUAGGGCCCCCACCUGCUGCUCAGGGGUGGGGGCCAGGGGGGAGGACAUU